rnacentral:rRNA from 1 species
AUUGAACGCUGGCGGCAGGCUUAACACUUGCAAGUCGAGCGGUAACAGAGAGAAGCUUGCUUCUCUGCUGACGAGCGGCGGACGGGUGAGUAAUGCCUAGGAAUCUGCCUAGUAGUGGGGGAUAACUUGCCGAAAGGUAAGCUAAUACGGCAUACGUCCUACGGGAGAAAGGAGGGGACCUUCGGGCCUUUCGCGAUUAGAUGAGCCUAGGUCGGAUUAGUUAGUUGGUGAGGGAAUGGCUCACCAAGACCGCGAUCCGUAACUGGUCUGAGAGGAUGAUCAGUCACACUGGAACUGAGACACGGUCCAGACUCCUACGGGAGGCAGCAGUGGGGAAUAUUGGACAAUGGGGGGAACCCUGAUCCAGCCAUGCCGCGUGUGUGAAGAAGAUCUUAGGAUUGUAAAGCACUUUAAGUUGGGAGGAAGAGCAGUUAACUAAUAUUUGACUGUUUUGACGUUACCGACAGAAUAAGCACCGGCUAACUUCGUGCCAGCAGCCGCCGUAA